UACAGAGGGGGCAAGCGUUGUUCGGAAUUACUGGGCGUAAAGGCGCGUAGGCGGCCUGUUAAGUCGAACGUGAAAUCCCCGGGCUCAACCCGGGAACUGCGUCCGAUACUGGCAGGCUUGAAUCCGGGAGAGGGAUGUGGAAUUCCAGGUGUAGCGGUGAAAUGCGUAGAUAUCUGGAGGAACACCGGUGGCGAAGGCGGCAUCCUGGACCGGUAUUGACGCUGAGGAGCGAAAGCUAGGGGAGCAAACGGG
rnacentral:rRNA from 1 species